ensembl:lncRNA
GCCGGGGCCUGGAGCCUGCCUGCCCCCUCCCCUCCGACUUUCGAACAGCCCUUCCUCCCCGAGCCCAACGGCGGCUCUGUAGCCGGCACCCAGCAGCUCAGUCAGACAAAGGAAAGAUCUUCAGGCUAAGAACGACAAGAAUUGAACACUACAGACCAAAGUGCUUAUGAAAUUUAAAGAUAAAGGAAAAAGUCCAGGGGAAAAAGAGAAAAGAAAGGAAGAGCCGCAGAAAGAUUCUCUAGAAUACAGCCACCUUGGAAGACAGAGCUCCUCCUCAGUGAGAGGGAGUCAGCUUUGGAACUGGAGUUUUCUCGAGAAAGAAAAGCCAUACAGAAAAGUAAUACUGACUGGGACUGAACCAUCUUUUCCACAUAGUAUUGGCAAAACCAUAAUAAGCCUGGCUAUUCCUUGGCUUAUUCCAACAACUGUAGUGGAUCUAAUGGAGAUAUUUUAGAGAACUUCAAUGAUGGGAGCUGGAGAAAGCAGUGUGUUUAUAGAUAAACACUGCUAUAUGAGGAAAAAAAUCUUAUUGUGAAUAUUACACAGAUUAGAUAAUAGUAAUAUGUUUUAAAAAUAAGUCACUUGAUUUAGAUAAAUGAUCUAAAUAUUAUUCACCUAAUCAGAAACAUUUUUAGCAACAAUUCUACAAAAUUUUUGUGUGUGUAAUUCAACACAUAAAACCACAUCAUCCAUAUGUAACUGACAGUGAGUCAUCUCUUGAAGCAUAAGAAAUGGGGACCUAAGUAAAAGCAUAAUACAGCACACAAUAUGUAGUAACUGAAAGGCAGAGACAAUGUUGCAUUAGUUUUAGGACUACUGCUUUAUGCCUCUGUCACCUUUAGAGGGACGGUUCCCUGGACAAGAUAGGAAAAAAAAGUUUUAGAAAUGUUUUGUCUUAGAGACCUGAACUUAUAAGGGUGAGUUUCUAUGGAGGGGGGGGGAGAGGGGAAGACUUUUGCAAGAUCUGUAAUACUGGGGCCAGUCAUAUGUUCACAAUAUAUUGCUCACCAAGAAACUGAGCCCGAGAAUUAUUAAGGUUUUUUUGGUGAAUAACUUUGAAUAAUUAAUUCUUCUGAGAAAACCACAAUCUGUUCACAGAGAGUUCAUGAAGAAAAAAAAAAAAAAAGAAAGAAAAGAAACCAAGGUGAAUAAUUCAUUAUGAAUUAUUUGACCUGUUUUAGCAAUGAGAUUCUAAAUCUGUCCUCUUAUGGAUAUUAACCUCAUUAAUACUAUUUAGAUACAAGACUUCGGGAUAAUUAAGAUGAUGCAAUACUGUGUAUCUAAUAUGACACUAUUAAUAUUUUUGUAAAUACUUUGAAAAUAAUGCUUUAUUUAUUGUAUUUUUUUAAAUCCUUGUGUAUAAAUUUAGAAGAACUGGCCAUCUUAGAAUAAUUAAUGCAAUAAUAGGACAUUCUUAUAUGAGAAGGAAGCCUUGAUGACAGAGAGAUCUAAAUGUUUAAAAUCUGCUUAGGUCUACUGCUAUAACACAUAGCUGAGUGACCAAUUCGCCUAUCAUUUGUGAAUUCUAGGGAAUUUGAGAGAAUGUCUAAUCCUGAACUGAGAAACAGAAUUUCCAGGGAUGGGAGAGAAAUCAGGUUUGACUCUUAAUAUUUAAAAGUACAAACUGUAAUAAACAUACAACAAUUUCCGUACAAUAACUGAAUAAUGUUAGCAGACUGAUUUCAGACUGUUCCAUUACGUCAUCCAGGAAUAACACAAGAACUAGUCAUUUAACUGCUUAAUGCACUGUUUCUGUUUAAAUAUGAACACAGUAUUUUAAGUAAAAGCUAAUAUUUUCUAAUAAUUCCUACCAAUACCUGACCAACUAUCCAAUAUCAUUAGGUAAAGCUGCAGUUUCAUGACACUUUGAACUGCUCCAAAUCAGAGCUGCUAGGGUGUUUUCUGCCAAGUGCUUCAGCCUACACCCUUGCAUCAGCAGUAGUGUUUGGUUGAUGCCAUUCUCUCCCACCUUCCCACAGAGGUGAGCUGUUUCACGGCAGAAUAGCUGCAGCCUGACAAUACAGUUAGGCUCGUCCAAAAAAACAAAAAAGAAAAAAAAAACAUAAACAAGAGAGAAAAGGAAGCCCAUACCUAAAGAGAUAAUCUUGCUUUUUUUUUUUUUUUUUUUUUUUUUUUUGUUCCCCAAACUAGUUGCAUGCUUCCCUGAUAUUGGUAUUAAUCUGAUCCUGUGGGGAAGCUGAUCUUACAAAAUAUACUUUCCUGGGUUAGCAGCAGGCCAUUGAGAUGCAAUAGAUUCACUUUAAAGUCAGAUGAAUGAAGGUGCCAGUACAAAUGCUGGAGAAGAGCACAGCAAAGAAAGCUCAAGGGAAAGCAGUGGUAACAUAUGGCCAAAAGUAGGGUUUGCAGCAAUCAACAUUUAGAUUGGCUUCGGCUCCAGUGGAACCACAGCCUUAGAUUUACUGUAAAUAAGAUCUAAUUCUGAAGGAACUUCUUCAAAACAAACAUAAGGCAAGUCAUUCCAUACUCCUUUCCCAAAGAAAAAUCAAUUACAGUAAUAGCAAUAGUAACUUAUUUCACCUAAAGUGUUUUCAGCCACUUGGCAUACAACAUGUGAGCCUACCAGCUAACUACAUUCGGUGCUUAACUAAGUUAAGCAAUGUAAGAUUUAAUCUGUCCCUGAAAUAAAUAUUUUAAAAACAAACAAUUCCAAGUUCAAUGCAAUGUAUUGUAAAAAACAUUUUCUUGUUCACUAUGUGCAAAUAUACAUCACUCUAUUUGGAAUGUCAGUAGAAGUCUUUUGAAAUAAUAGCUUUUAUGGAAGAAAUUUUCCAUGUAAAUAAUUCUGAAUGUACUCUUCUUUUGGGUUUCUGCUGUAUGUUAAGCACUGCAGUCUAUUAUGAAGCUAUUUACUACAUAGUAUCUGUAUACUCUGAAUGUUUUU